UGGGGAAUUUUGCACAAUGGGGGAAAACCUGAUGCAGCGACGCCGCGUGAUUUAGAAGGCCUUCGGGUUGUAAAAAUCUUUUCUAUGGGAAGAAAAUGACAGUACCAUAGGAAUAAGGACCGGCUAAUUACGUGCCAGCAGCCGCGGUAAUACGUAAGGUCCGAGCGUUGUCCGGAAUCAUUGGGCGUAAAGGGUACGUAGGCGGGUAAGCAAGUUAGAAGUGAAAUCCUGUAGCUCAACUACAGUAAGCAUUUAAAACUGCUCAUCUUGAGAUAUGGAAGGGAAAGUGGAAUUCCUAGUGUAGCGGUGAAAUGCGCAGAUAUUAGGAGGAAUACCGGUGGCGAAGGCGACUUUCUGGACACAAAUCUGACGCUGAGGAACGAAAGCGUGGGUAGCAAACAGG
rnacentral:rRNA from 1 species